GAAUAUAAAAAAUGUACAUUGUUACACGUCCUUAUAUUAAGUUAUUAUUUUGUUUUGCUGUCAAUAAUCUAUUUACGUUUCAAUUAUAUAGGACAUAGUAUGGUAAGUGCUGGACUUAGUCUAAGGGUUGUUAGGAGUUGUUGGCCACUUAACACUUUUUCGUGCUGAGAGUUGCUUGGCUUUAGGAAUAACCAUUGUGUUUUCACAAGCGGUUGCUCGGUCUCUCGAAGAAUCAUGAUUUAUUGGGCAAUGAUAUUCGGCCACCACGAGACCAUAACGAAGCCAGAAACGCAUGCUUCCUCUGCCGUUUCGAAGUUUUAAAUUUGAAAAUUAAAAAUAGAUUUUACCAUUGAAAAAUAUUAAAAUUAAAUCUAAAGAAUUUGAAAAUUCCAAAAUUCUUACCCGUCCCUCUCACUCGCUUGCUCUGUCUCUCUCUCAUUCACCUUCCCUCUCACUCACCAGCUCUGUCUCUCUCACUCACCCGAUCUGCCUCUCUCACUCACCCACUUGCGAGCUAUUUCUCUCAGGCUGUCACUCACCCACGAAACUUGUUGUCACGCCACGCCCAUCGCCGACCAGCCCAUCACCGACAUCGCUAUCACGCCGUUCACGUCGCCGACCAGCCUUAGUUGACAGUGUGCUUGACGAUUUUGGACCUUUUUCACCUACCUAGGUAAUUAAAUUUAGUAUGUUGAGGAAAGUUUUGAUUUAUUGUAUUUAUAUUUUAAAAUUAUUAGAAAUAAGUUAUUUGAAAUGUAGAUUUUGUUUGAAUUAUAUAUGAUUAAUACAAUUUAUUUUUCAUGGUAUUACAAAGAAAAGGUUGGGAAGAAAUAUAAAAAGAAAAUUAAGGUAAAAUUAAACUACUUAGUUAAUUAUUCUACAAUUAAUUUAAUUUUAAUUUAUCUUUAUAUGGAUUUGCAGGAUUCAAAUGUACAAACAUCGUUAUCUUCUGAGGUGGAUAUUGUAGUCCCAACGCAGGAGAGCAUUAAGGAUCCAGUAAAUUUUAUGUUCUUUGAUGCAAUACAAUUUAUUAUUUUAAUUUUUAAUGGCCACUAAAUCUGUCAUUAUUGUAUUUUAAAUGGUCACUAAAUAAUGGUCAUUAUUUAGGAACCUGUGUUCACAUACCAAUCACAAGGAUGUGAAAUUUAUCUAUCGUUUCCUUUUGAUUCUUACAUUGUAAGUUAUAAUCCAGUUUUUAUAUUUAUGCCUAAUUAAUUUUGCAGUUUUUAUAUGUGAAAAUGCCAAAUUAACCAAAAAAAAAAAAAAAUUGGUUAUCACAAUUAUCUUUUUCAAAUAAAUUUUAUGGCAUGUUGAGGUUGCUUUAGUAUAAAAAGAAGGGGGGGGAACUCCUCAUUCAUAACCAGAUCUUAAAGAGCUAGAUUAAACACUCAAAAUUCACAACUUUUAUUGCAUAAUAUUGUUACAAGUUUCGGUUCAAAGGAUCAAAGGCCAGCUAAAGACAGUUUUAUUUAUUUCAUAAGCGUCAGGAAGGCCGGUCCAUAAUUCCAUUAGCUAGCUGAGAGUUACAUAAUACAAU
rnacentral:lncRNA from 1 species